UGGCUCCUAUGUGCUGGUCCUCCUGGUGU
rnacentral:piRNA from 1 species